rnacentral:lncRNA from 1 species
GGGCAUAAGCUACAAUGGGAUGGUUAAGAAUCCAACCACCACUCCUCUCUCUUCAACCCAAAACAUUGUCCUUACUAUAAGAAGCGUAUGAAAGCUAGAUAUUUAUGAACCACAGCUCUGCUCCAAUGUUCGUAUGCAAGGUGAACCAUCUCUCUCUCUCUCUCUCUCUCUCUCUCUCUAAAUAUUAAUCAUGCGUUUGUGUGUAUGCAUGUGUGCUCGAUCGUGUGUUUCUAUAUGUACGUAUGUUUGCUGAGGUCUUCAUAUGCUUUUUAAAAAUAAGCUAGCCAUAGUGCAGCAUGUCCUUUAUUUCUUAAUUAUUAUAUGAGUGAGUUUGUCUAUGUGUGUAAAAAAUAUUUUAUACAUUUGAUUGCUUGAGACUUGAGUAAUAUAACCAAGCAAAUAUCUACGUGUGUAUUGACUCGUUGAUGACAACAAGGAUAGCAUUCAUUUAUUUUUCUUAUCUUAUUUUGUACUCACAAUCAUCUGUUACUCAAUUAUGUGAAAAAAUUACACAAAAAAUAAAUCUAG